UUGGAGGGCAAGUCUGGUGCCAGCAGCCGCGGUAAUUCCAGCUCCAAUAGCGUAUAUUAAAGUUGUUGCAGUUAAAAAGCUCGUAGUUGAAUUUCGGGAUCAAUAUAUCGGUCGUGCCUUGGUACGUACUGGUAUCAUUGGUUUCUCCUUUCUGACGAACCAUGAUGUCAUUAAUUUGGUGUUAUGGGAAGUUAGGACUGUUACUUUGAAAAAAUUAGAGUGUUUAAAGCAGGCUUUAGCUUGAAUACAUUAGCAUGGAAUAAUGAAAUAGGACGUUCGAACCUAUUUUGUUGGUUUCUAGGAUCAACGUAAUGAUUAAUAGGGAUAGUUGGGGGCAUUAGUAUUCAAUUGUCAGAGGUGAAAUUCUUGGAUUUAUUGAAGACUAACCACUGCGAAAGCAUUUGCCAAGGAUGUUUUCAUUAAUCAAGAACGAAAGUUAGGGGAUCGAAGACGAUCAGAUACCGUCGUAGUCUUAACCAUAAACUAUGCCGACUAGGGAUCGGAUGAUGUUAAUUUUUUAAUGACUCAUUCGGCGCCUUACGGGAAAC
rnacentral:rRNA from 1 species